AACGAACGCUGGCGGCAUGCCUAACACAUGCAAGUCGAACGAGACCUUCGGGUCUAGUGGCGCACGGGUGCGUAACGCGUGGGAACCUGCCCUUAGGUUCGGAAUAACUCCCCGAAAGGGGUGCUAAUACCGGAUAAUGUCUUCGGACCAAAGAUUUAUCGCCUUUGGAUGGGCCCGCGUUGGAUUAGCUAGUUGGUAGGGUAAAAGCCUACCAAGGCGACGAUCCAUAGCUGGUCUGAGAGGAUGAGCAGCCACACUGGGACUGAGACACGGCCCAGACUCCUACGGGAGGCAGCAGUGGGGAAUAUUGGACAAGGGGCGAAAGCCUGAUCCAGCAAUGCCGCGUGAGUGAUGAAGGCCUUAGGGUUGUAAAGCUCUUUUACCCGGGAUGAUAAUGACAGUACCGGGAGAAUAAGCUCCGGCUAACUCCGUG
rnacentral:rRNA from 1 species